rnacentral:rRNA from 1 species
CUAUGAAGCUUUACUGUAGCCUGGGAUUGACUUUGGGUUUAUUUUGCGCAGUAUAUGUGGGAGGCUAAGAAAGUAUAUUUCCGGAUACACUCGAGCCAUCAGUGAGAUACCACUCUAAAUAAACUAAAAUUCUAACUUUGAUAGUCGUUAACCGGCCAAAGAACAUUUCCAGGUGGGCAGUUUGACUGGGGCGGUCGCCUCCUAAAAGGUAACGGAGGCGUGCAAAGGUUUCCUCAGACUGGUCGGAAAUCAGUCUUCGAGUAUAAAGGCAUAAGGAAGCUUGACUGCAAGACCUACAAGUCGAGCAGAGACGAAAGUCGGCCUUAGUGAUCCGACAGUGCUGAGUGGAAAGGCUGUCGCUCAACGGAUAAAAGUUACUCUAGGG